rnacentral:rRNA from 1 species
CCUACGGGCGGCAGCAGUGGGGAAUAUUGCACAAUGGGCGCAAGCCUGAUGCAGCCAUGCCGCGUGUGUGAAGAAGGCCUUCGGGUUGUAAAGCACUUUCAGCGGGGAGGAAGGCGGUGAGGUUAAUAACCUCAUCGAUUGACGUUACCCGCAGAAGAAGCACCGGCUGAACUCCGUGCCAGCAGCCGCGGUAAUACGGAGGGUGCAAGCGUUAAUCGGAAUUACUGGGCGUAAAGCGCACGCAGGCGGUCUGUCAAGUCGGAUGUGAAAUCCCCGGGCUCAACCUGGGAACUGCAUUCGAAACUGGCAGGCUAGAGUCCUGUACAGGGGGGUAGAAUUCCAGGUGUAGCGGUGAAAUGCGUAGAGAUCUGGAGGAAUACCGGUGGCGAAGGCGGCCCCCUGGACCAAGACUGACGCUCAGGUGCGAAAGCGUGGGGAGCAAACAGGAUUAGAUCCCCGGGUCGCC